rnacentral:rRNA from 1 species
GAUGAACGCUGGCGGCGUGCCUAAUACAUGCAAGUCGAGCGAACGGACGAGAAGCUUGCUUCUCUGAUGUUAGCGGCGGACGGGUGAGUAACACGUGGAUAACCUACCUAUAAGACUGGGAUAACUUCGGGAAACCGGAGCUAAUACCGGAUAAUAUUUUGAACCGCAUGGUUCAAAAGUGAAAGACGGUCUUGCUGUCACUUAUAGCUGGAUCCGCGCUGCAUUAGCUAGUUGGUAAGGUAACGGCUUACCAAGGCAACGAUGCAUAGCCGACCUGAGAGGGUGAUCGGCCACACUGGAACUGAGACACGGUCCAGACUCCUACGGGAGGCAGCAGUAGGGAAUCUUCCGCAAAGGGCGAAAGCCUGACGGAGCAACGCCGCGUGAGUGAUGAAGGUCUUCGGAUCGUAAAACUCUGUUAUUAGGGAAGAACAUAUGUGUAAGUAACUGUGCACAUCUUGACGUUACCUAAUCAGAAAGCCACGGCUAACUACGUG